rnacentral:rRNA from 1 species
GAUGAACGCUGGCGGCGUGCUUAACACAUGCAAGUCGAGCGAAGCACUUAGGAAAGAUUCUUCGGAUGAUUUCCUAUUUGACUGAGCGGCGGACGGGUGAGUAACGCGUGGGUAACCUGCCUCAUACAGGGGGAUAACAGUUAGAAAUGACUGCUAAUACCGCAUAAGACCACAGCACCGCAUGGUGCAGGGGUAAAAACUCCGGUGGUAUGAGAUGGACCCGCGUCUGAUUAGUUAGUUGGUGGGGUAACGGCCUACCAAGGCGACGAUCAGUAGCCGACCUGAGAGGGUGACCGGCCACAUUGGGACUGAGACACGGCCCAAACUCCUACGGGAGGCAGCAGUGGGGAAUAUUGCACAAUGGGGGAAACCCUGAUGCAGCGACGCCGCGUGAGCGAAGAAGUAUUUCGGUAUGUAAAGCUCUAUCAGCAGGGACGAUAAUGACGGUACCUGACUAAGAAGCCCCGGCUAACUACGUGCCAGCCGCCGCAGUAA